rnacentral:rRNA from 1 species
AACGAACGCUGGCGGCAUGCCUAACACAUGCAAGUCGAACGAGACCUUCGGGUCUAGUGGCGCCCGGGUGCGUAACGCGUGGGAACCUGCCCUUAGGUUCGGAAUAACUCCCCGAAAGGGGUGCUAAUACCGGAUAAUGUCUUCGGACCAAAGAUUUAUCGCCCUUGGAUGGGCCCGCGUUGGAUUAGCUAGUUGGUAGGGUGACAGCCUACCAAGGCGACGAUCCAUAGCUGGUCUGAGAGGAUGAUCAGCCACACUGGGACUGAGACACGGCCCAGACUCCUACGGGAGGCAGCAGUGGGGAAUAUUGGACAAUGGGCGAAAGCAUGAUCCAGCAAUGCCGCGUGAGUGAUGAAGGCCUUAGGGUUGUAAAGCUCUUUUACCCGGGAUGAUAAUGACAGUACCGUGAGAAUAAGCUCCGGCUAACUCCGUG